AUACUAUCCAGUUUACUAUAUAAUAUUGGAUUAUGCAUGCGUGCUCAGUCACGUCCAACUCUUUGAAUCCCCAUGGACUAUAGACCGCCAGUCUCCUCUGCCCAUGGGAUUUUCCAGGUGGAUUCUUUACCACUGAGUCAUCAGAGACGCGCCCAUAAUAACGGAUUGUCUGUCCCCAGUUGGAAGACUGUUUAGACUUCUGUGCACUUCAGUGGCUCAAAGCUUGUUGAAUGCAGAGGACCCAGUGAAGGAAUUCUGAGGCCAUGCUCUGAGGUGGCAGAGGCACACAGUGAAAGAAUCUGGGGUUUCUGAGUAUUUCAGAAGGAGAGCAGCCCAAGAUGCCUGCCUGACCGAUGUCUGACUUUCUUUAAGUCAUCAUGUUUAAAGGUUAUUUGUUGCCUGAACUGGUG
ensembl:lncRNA